rnacentral:rRNA from 1 species
AUUGAACGCUGGCGGCAUGCCUUACACAUGCAAGUCGAACGGUAACAGGCCGCAAGGUGCUGACGAGUGGCGAACGGGUGAGUAAUGCAUCGGAACGUGCCCAGUAGUGGGGGAUAGCCCGGCGAAAGCCGGAUUAAUACCGCAUACGACCUGAGGGUGAAAGGGGGGGAUCGCAAGACCUCUCGCUAUUGGAGCGGCCGAUGUCAGAUUAGCUAGUUGGUGGGGUAAAGGCCUACCAAGGCAACGAUCUGUAGUUGGUCUGAGAGGACGACCAGCCACACUGGGACUGAGACACGGCCCAGACUCCUACGGGAGGCAGCAGUGGGGAAUUUUGGACCAUGGGCGCAAGCCUGAUCCAGCAAUGCCGCGUGCAGGAAGAAGGCCUUCGGGUUGUAAACUGCUUUUGUCAGGGAAGAAAUCUUCUGGGUUAAUACCUCGGGAGGAUGACGGUACCUGAAGAAUAAGCACCGGCUAACUACGUGCCAGCCGCCGCAGUAAAAC